UGGACAUCGGUCUCGGCCUCGUAUUUUUGUCACCCUGUUACCUCCUUCGAGCCGCAAUCUCUUAAGUCUCAGCCUGGCAUCCUCUCUUGUAAAAUGGGGCCAGUACCAGCCUCCUCUUAGCGCCACAGUGAGGGACCAAGUGUGGUCGUAAUUACACAACUUCUUUGUAAACUCUAGCACGGUAUACAAAUGUGAGGUGUUCGUAGUAUGUUUCCAGUCCUAACUGUAGAAAUUUGAUCACUUAAGUUACUGGGAAAGUGACACAGAGGCUUGUAGUGGGAUGAGGGUGGAGGAUGGGAUCCGAGCAGUCCACGCGCAUGAGCAACGGAACCCGGGUCUUUAUCGGGGCUGUCAGUGAGAAGAGAUGCUCGUUUCCUGCAGCUGUUACAGGACGACCUCUCUCGGAAUCAAUUGGUAGCAAUCACUCUUAA
rnacentral:lncRNA from 1 species